UGGCGAGUGGCGAACGGGUGAGUAACAUAUCGGAACGUACCGGGUAGCGGGGGAUAACUGAUCGAAAGAUCAGCUAAUACCGCAUACGUCUUGAGAGGGAAAGCAGGGGACCUUCGGGCCUUGCGCUAUCCGAGCGGCCGAUAUCUGAUUAGCUGGUUGGCGGGGUAAAGGCCCACCAAGGCGACGAUCAGUAGCGGGUCUGAGAGGAUGAUCCGCCACACUGGGACUGAGACACGGCCCAGACUCCUACGGGAGGCAGCAGUGGGGAAUUUUGGACAAUGGGCGCAAGCCUGAUCCAGCCAUGCCGCGUGUCUGAAGAAGGCCUUCGGGUUGUAAAGGACUUUUGUCAGGGAAGAAAAGGCCGUUGUCAAUAUCGGCGGCCGAUGACGGUACCUGAAGAAUAAGCACCGGCUAACUACGUGCCAGCAGCCGCGGUAAUACGUAGGGUGCGAGCGUUAAUCGGAAUUACUGGGCGUAAAGCGGGCGCAGACGGUUACUUAAGCAGGAUGUGAAAUCCCCGGGCUCAACCCGGGAACUGCGUUCUGAACUGGGUGACUCGAGUGUGUCAGAGGGAGGUGGAAUUCCACGUGUAGCAGUGAAAUGCGUAGAGAUGUGGAGGAAUACCGAUGGCGAAGGCAGCCUCCUGGGAUAACACUGACGUUCAUGUCCGAAAGCGUGGGUAGCAAACAGGAUUAGAUACCCUGGUAGUCCACGCCCUAAACGAUGUCAAUUAGCUGUUGGGCAACUUGAUUGCUUGGUAGCGUAGCUAACGCGUGAAAUUGACCGCCUGGGGAGUACGGUCGCAAGAUUAAAACUCAAAGGAAUUGACGGGGACCCGCACAAGCGGUGGAUGAUGUGGAUUAAUUCGAUGCAACGCGAAGAACCUUACCUGGUUUUGACAUGUGCGGAAUCCUCCGGAGACGGAGGAGUGCCUUCGGGAGCCGUAACACAGGUGCUGCAUGGCUGUCGUCAGCUCGUGUCGUGAGAUGUUGGGUUAAGUCCCGCAACGAGCGCAACCCUUGUCAUUAGUUGCCAUCAUUCGGUUGGGCACUCUAAUGAGACUGCCGGUGACAAGCCGGAGGAAGGUGGGGAUGACGUCAAGUCCUCAUGGCCCUUAUGACCAGGGCUUCACACGUCAUACAAUGGUCGGUACAGAGGGUAGCCAAGCCGCGAGGCGGAGCCAAUCUCACAAAACCGAUCGUAGUCCGGAUUGCACUCUGCAACUCGAGUGCAUGAAGUCGGAAUCGCUAGUAAUCGCAGGUCAGCAUACUGCGGUGAAUACGUUCCCGGGUCUUGUACACACCGCCCGUCACACCAUGGGAGUGGGGGAUACCAGAAGUAGGUAGGGUAACCGCAAGGAGUCC
rnacentral:rRNA from 1 species